rnacentral:rRNA from 1 species
AGGUUCGAUUCUGGCUCAGGACGAACGCUGGCGGCGUGCUUAACACAUGCAAGUCGAACGGAACACCCUUGACAGAGGUUUCGGCCAAUGAAGAGGAAUGUUUAGUGGCGGACUGGUGAGUAACGCGUGAGGAACCUGCCUUUCAGAGGGGGACAACAGUUGGAAACGACUGCUAAUACCGCAUGAAGCAGCGAGGGGACAUCCCCUUGCUGUCAAAGAUUUAUCGCUGAAAGAUGGCCUCGCGUCUGAUUAGCUAGUUGGUGGGUAACGGCCCACCAAGGCGACGAUCAGUAGCCGGACUGAGAGGUUGACCGGCCACAUUGGGACUGAGAUACGGCCCAGACUCCUACGGGAGGCAGCAGUGGGGAAUAUUGGGCAAUGGACGCAAGUCUGACCCAGCAACGCCGCGUGAAGGAAGAAGGCUUUCGGGUUGUAAACUUCUUUUAACAGGGAAGAGAAGAAGACGGUACCUGUUGAAUAAGCCACGGCUAACUACGUGCCAGCCGCCGC